GGACAAGCGAAUAAGUGCACAUGGUGGAUGCCUUGGCGAUUACAGGCGAUGAAGGACGUAGUAGCUUGCGAUAAGCUGCGGGGAGUGAGCAAACACACUUUGAUCCGCAGAUUUCCGAAUGGGGCAACCCACCCUUUUAGGGUAUUGCAUACUGAAUACAUAGGUAUGCAAGGCGAACGCGGCGAACUGAAACAUCUAAGUAGCUGCAGGAAAAGAAAUCAACCGAGAUUCCCAAAGUAGCGGCGAGCGAAAUGGGAAGAGCCUGUACGUGAUAGUCGGACCGAUAACAGAAUCCUCUGGAAAUAGGAGCCAUAGUGGGUGAUAGCCCCGUAUGUGAAAUCGGACCGGUGAUACUAAGCGUACGACAAGUAGGGCGGGACACGUGACAUCCUGUCUGAAUAUGGGGGGACCAUCCUCCAAGGCUAAAUACUCGUAAUCGACCGAUAGUGAACCAGUACCGUGAGGGAAAGGCGAAAAGAACCCCGGAAGGGGAGUGAAAUAGAUCCUGAAACCGUGUGCAUACAAACAGUAGGAGCGGACUUGUUCCGUGACUGCGUACCUUUUGUAUAAUGGGUCAGCGACUUACAUUCAGUGGCAAGGUUAACCGCAUAGGGAAGCCGUAGAGAAAUCGAGUCCGAAUAGGGCGAUCAGUCGCUGGGUGUAGACCCGAAACCAAGUGAUCUACUCAUGGCCAGGAUGAAGGUGCGGUAACACGCCCUGGAGGUCCGAACCCACUAAUGUUGAAAAAUUAGGGGAUGAGCUGUGGGUAGGGGUGAAAGGCUAAACAAACUUGGAAAUAGCUGGUUCUCUCCGAAAACUAUUUAGGUAGUGCCUCAAGUAUCACCAUCGGGGGUAGAGCACUGUUAUGGCUAGGGGGUCAUUGCGACUUACCAAACCAUUGCAAACUCCGAAUACCGAUGAGUGCGAGCUUGGGAGACAGACGUCGGGUGCUAACGUCCGGCGUCAAGAGGGAAACAACCCAGACCGCCAGCUAAGGUCCCAAAGAUUGGCUAAGUGGAAAACGAAGUGGGAAGGCUAAAACAGUCAGGAUGUUGGCUUAGAAGCAGCCAUCAUUUAAAGAAAGCGUAAUAGCUCACUGAUCGAGUCGUCCUGCGCGGAAGAUGUAACGGGGCUAAGCCAGUCACCGAAGCUGCGGAUAU
rnacentral:rRNA from 1 species